CUUGUUCUGUUCGAGGGCAAGCUUAAAAAAAAAACACACAAAGGUAGAAGACGACGACGAUAUCCCCCUACGCGCUCUGUUGCAGAAGAAAGAAAAGUAUAUGUCUGGAAGAAACCGGAUUCACCGAGACAGUUAUCAUGAUCAUCGGCGUGAUUUGCCUCCGGAGAGACCAUUUCUCAGAGGCCCUCCUCCAUUGUUACAGCCUCCACCACCAUCUUUGUUAGAUGAUCUCCAGAUUCAGGAGGUCGAAAUCAGAAGGCUUUUGAAUGAUAAUCACAGACUAGCUGAGGACAGAAUGGUUCUGGAGCGAGAACUCGGCUCUGCUAAGGAAGAGCUUCACCGGAUGAAUCUCAUGAUCUCUGAUCUUCGUGCUGAACAAGAUCUGCGGUCCAGGGAGUUCAGUGAGAAAAGGCAUAAGCUUGAGGGAGAUGUUCGUGCUAUGGAGUCUUAUAAGAAGGAGGCUUCCCAGUUGCGUGCUGAGCUUCAGAAGCUAAAUGACGUUAAGCGUGGAUUAAGUGGAGAUGUUCAGAUUCUUAGGAAAGAUCUGGGUAAAUUGCAAUCUGAUAACAAGCAGAUUCCGGGUAUGAGAGCUGAGGUUAAAGAUCUGCAGAAGGAGCUUAUGCUUGCUAGAGACGCAAUUGACUAUGAAAAGAAGGAAAAGUUUGAGCUUAUGGAGCAGAGGCAGACAAUGGAAAAGAACAUGGUUUCUAUGGCGCGCGAAGUUGAAAAGCUACGAGCUGAACUUGCUACUGUUGAUAGUAGGCCGUGGGGUUUUGGUGGAUCAUAUGGGAUAAAUUACAACAAUAUGGAUGUAGCUUACCGUGGUUCUUAUGGCGAAAACGAUAGUUUCUUGGGAUCUUCGGAAAGGAGUCAAUACUACAGCCAUGGGUCUGCCUCACAGAAGAAACCUCGCUUGGAUCGUCAUUGAAAUCUAUAAAUGAUGUUGGGGAAAAAGAGUGAGGUGACAACUGAAAUUCCCACUUCGCAAUACUCCUCUGGUUGUUUGUGGGUAUGCAUCUAUCCUAAAUCGAAAUGCGAGAAAGCUUCAAAAGAAUAAACCUGAGACCAUUUAUCUAAGAGUUGGUACAGACAAAGAACCAGAAAGGUUAUAACAGAAACCAGUGGUUAGAACAGGAGGAAACAUCUUCGAUCUUUUUCCUUUCACCAACGUCUUGGUAUCAGGGAAGAAACCGUCGCCAACUUCCUCAA